UACGGAGGGUGCAAGCGUUAUCCGGAUUCACUGGGUUUAAAGGGUGCGUAGGUGGGUUUGUAAGUCAGUGGUGAAAGCCCGGAGCUUAACUCCGGAACUGCCAUUGAUACUGCAGAUCUUGAGUACACUUGAGGUGGGCGGAAUACAUCAUGUAGUGGUGAAAUACUUAGAUAUGAUGUAGAACACCGAUUGCGAAGGCAGCUCACUAAAUUGUAACUGACACUGAGGCACGAAAGCGUGGGGAUCAAACAGG
rnacentral:rRNA from 2 species